AUGGCGAUAGGAGGACGCAUCUGUGGUGCCAUUCACCCCCUCCUGGAGGUACCUUCAUCAGUGGCUGUGGAGAACGGAGAGCAGGUAUUUGAGAUUUUGAAAAUGAAGCCUGGUUAAAGUCCAAGGUUUGAUCGUGCUACGCGUGCUAAAGAUAAGGGACUCUCUCUGUCGCGAUCUCGGCUCACUGCAACCUUCGACUCCUGGGUUCAAGUGAUUCUUCUGCCUCAGCCUCCUGAGUAGCUGGGAUUACGGACGUACAUCACCAUGCCUGGCUAAUUUUUGUAUGUUAGUAGAGAUGGGGUUUUAUCAUGUUGGCCAGGCUGAUCUCAAACUCCUGGCCUCAGGUGAUCCACCCACUUCGGCCUCCCAAAGUGCUGGGACUACAGGCGUGAGUCACUGUGACCAGCCUAUAGAGGUAAUUUGAGAAUAUUAUAAGCAGUAAGACAAUAUAGCUGAAAGAACACAAAACUAUGGAUGGAAGGACUUGUGCCUCAGUUCACAUUUUACCACUAAAUUCCUGAGGAAACUUGGUCAAGUCAGAUAACGCUUUUACUUUUCUCUUUUAAAUGCCUACUUUCUAGUUGUUUUUGGUUAAUCAUGUAAGAAAGCAGAUUUAUAAAGAAUAAAUAUGAACAUGAAAAGCUUUAUAAUCUUGCUCCAACACUAAUCUGGUUGCUGAUGAAGAAGAUGUAGUGGCAGGGCAAUUUAGUUUGGGAACAGCUGAACAUUGGCUUUUAUGUACCUGAACUCAGAAAGAAAGGGUCACACUCCUGAACAGGAGCUAAGAGGAGAAUGUAUAAUUUUUGACUCUUCAAUCUGCCAUCAUGAUCUCUAGUGUGAACUCCAUCCUAGGAGCCAUAUUAUGUAACCUACCAGCAAGACCUUAGAAAGAAAAGCCAAAUACAUUAUAACUUUAUAAAAUAAAUUAUAACUUUGUCUUUUUAGAAAAAUAUCUAGACAAUUUUUUUAGAUUGUUUCACAUGUGGUUUGGUUUUUAGGGGUAGCACAAUUCUUCAUAUUUUAAAUUUGUCUCUAGCUCCUAUUUCUUGAGAUUGGCCAAUCCAGAGAGGAGUAUGUCUACAUAUGUAUCCACCUUUGCUGAUUUAUUGACCCAUUGGGCUUUUGCUCUUCUACUAUUAGCUACAGAGGGGCUUAAAGGGUCUAUCUUAAACCUAGAGUGGUAAUAGCUACCAACAUUUCAAAAAGCCUGACUCUAAGGUGGUUUUCCUUAAAACGUGGUCCUAGGGAAUCACGCUAUGCCAAGGCAUUGGUGUAUUAACCUUUGUGAUGUAUUACAUUAGAUGGGCCUUGGACACAAGUCUGAGUAGAACAAAACCAAGGUUAAAUAGUACGGGGCCUUUUCUAAGUCAAAUAACUUCUAAGGAAUUUAUCAAAUAUAACUUCUAGAGUGUCAUUGGAGAAGUGAAAAAUAAUACUAGAAGUCAUUGUAUUCCCUGCUCGAGAUUUAGGACAGUUACAUUACUUUAAAAUAUAUCUGUGUUCAUGGCUGUCAGAAGAAAUCCCAACAAAAUCCACACAUUUGCCACAUCCAUUACCACUGUAA